GCUUCGGCGGGAUUGCCCCGGGCGCCUCGCGUGCCCCGGAUCAGGCGCCCGCCUAGGAAACUUAACUCUUGUUUUAUUUGGAAUCUUCUGAGUAGUUUUUACAAAUAAAUAAAAACUUUCAACAACGGAUCUCUUGGUUCUGGCAUCGAUGAAGAACGCAGCGAAAUGCGAUAAGUAAUGUGAAUUGCAGAAUUCAGUGAAUCAUCGAAUCUUUGAACGCACAUUGCGCCCGCCAGUAUUCUGGCGGGCAUGCCUGUCUGAGCGUCAUUUCAACCCUCAUGCCCCUAGGGCGUGGUGUUGGGGAUCGGCCAAAGCCCGCGAGGGACGGCCGGCCCCUAAAUCUAGUGGCGGACCCGUCGUGGCCUCCUCUGCGAAGUAGUGAUAUUCCGCAUCGGAGAGCGACGAGCCCCUGCCGUUAAACCCCCAACUUUCCAAGGUUGACCUCAGAUCAGGUAGGAAUACCCGCUGAACUUAAGCAUAUCAAUAA
rnacentral:rRNA from 1 species